UUUUUUUUUUUUUAAUGAAUCACAUUCUCACUAAAUUGCCACUUGUGAUCUUCCUGCCACAACCAAAGCUCUGGGAUUCCAGGUGUGUGCCACCCUGCCUGUCCUAGAGCUCCAUCUCCUACAUUUCCAAACCUUUCCUUUUUCUUCACUUCCUCUCACUUCUAGCAGUUGGAGUGGUGUACUGCUAAAUAUUUAACACUCAACUCUGGAAGAAAGAAAGAAAAACAACAACAACCCCGAUUUCUAACCUUUUCUGAUUUUUGUAAUGUAAUUACUUCUGCUAUGGAGAAGUCACUGAACAUAGAAUAGGGAAAAGAUACACAUGAUCACCUUUCAAGCCAAUAGGAGCUAGCUUCAUUGCAGUUUUAGGCCCUUUUUCCAGCACAUUCCACCAUGUUGCUUUAUUAAUGUACUUAGGUCUGCUUCAUCCUGAGCACCUUAUUCAACCUGAAGUACUGCAGUCAUCUCUUAUCCUUACCAGCUACCCCCUUUUUCGGACUAUUCUCUGAAAAGUCAUCUCUCUUCUGCUGGUUUCCAGCUCAAAAAUAUAGGGAGCAUUUUGAUCCAUUCCCUAUGGGAGUCCAGGCUAGGAGAGGACUGGCUUUGCUGGUCCCUUGGAUUUCUGGGCAUGUGGAAGCUCCACCUCUGGGCUAUUUUAAGCAUCUGUUUACCCAGAGGGGCCAAGGAAACAGAUCUCCACAGCUGUUGCUUGUGGCCAGAAAAGACUCAGGCUCCACCUUCCACCUGAAGUGCGCUCAGAGUGUGCAGAAAGCUGCCUACUUUGCCUGUUUCUCUGAGCCUUGGGUCAUGGGAAGCCUCUGACCCUCACUACCUUGCAGAUGGACCCAGGAUGAUAGGAGACAAGUGGCAAAAAUGAAAUCAAGUAAAAAGAGACCAGUGGCCAAGAAACUUGACUGGUGGUCAGAAGAUCUGCCACUUCCUGGUUCUGUGGCCUUGAACAUGUCACAAAGUCUCCCUGAGUCUCAGUUUCCCCUGCUGUAAGGGGCAGUAAUCAAUCUCCCUCUCCUAGCAUCUGCUGAGGAUUUGAAUGAGCUCAUUCACUUGAAAGCAUGAGUGAUUUUAAAGCCCUGACAAAUGUCAGUUACAUCAGAGGACUUAACCCUCAGGACCCACUUCCACGGGACCCAGAGCAUGUUCAAUUCAAUAGUCUAAUUUAGCUUCUGUGCUAGGGAGAGCACAGUGCUGCAUGCAGUGGGGUGUGUGUGAGCAAAGACAGCGUGGCUUAGCAUGCUGAGGUGUUAGAAAAAGGAUCUUCCAUAAGAGCCCCUGGAAUUGAGGACGCCCCUGGCCUGGUUGCCCUAGGCUUUCCCUGUGUCUAUAUUAGUCUGUGCCCAGCUGCUCCCCUAAUCCUAGGAUGAGGGUACGAUUAGCUGGUUGAGCAUGGGCAAACGGAAGUACAAGGGCUACUCACACUUCAGGAACUAGGCUGCAUUUUCCCUUAGGCUCCUUUAGAAAUCGGAAAAUAUCUGAGCUAGAAGGGGUCUAGAAGUCAACUAGCGUAACUUUCUCCAGUUAGAAAUGAUAAAACCAAGACUGGAAAAUCACUUGUCAAGCAUCAAAUAGCAAGUUCAAAUUACCACCCAGGGCUCCUCCCACCCUUGAGGGCAUGGUGCCUCCAUUCUUUCUGAAACUUCUCUCAGUGGGGUGCCCACUCUGCCUGUGCACGGUGCUGGAGCCCCCUGUGAAGGAAAUCCUGGACCUGGAGAAAGUGUGGGCCCACAUUUUCCUUUCUUAAGGAUUCUUAAAGAUUCAGCAGGAUCUUUCUCUAUAGAAAGAGAGGGGAAAGGAGGAAGACACUUGAUUUUAUUCUUAGAAGUGGCACAAUCGACAAGAUAGAGGGACCCUAUACAUGGCUCCCCUCUGGAGUCUCUAGACACUUUACUCAGCCUCACUUGAGCUGAGCUCAUUGGAACAGCUCCUCUGUCCAGAAGUCCCUGGCCUGUGUUAUCUGUGCUGUGAUUUCUUCCCUAGGAGGGGAGCAGACAGUCUCUGGGGAGACUCAGAAGAGACUUAAUAAGGUGAAAACUGUUUCUCACUCAACCUUGGAAAAGGAUAGAUCUGCCUUAAAAUCUUCUACUCCAGAGAGAAACUCUAAGAAAGUGCCAGAGACAUAAACAUAAGGAGAGACCUACUCAGAAGCAGAGCAGAGAGAUGAGGAUGGUCAAAGGAAUCAAAGUGAAGGACAAGGUUGGGGGGAUGGCAAAGACCACAGAGCACAGUGGCCAGGUCCUCGAGAGGAUGAUGUCUUACCUAAGCUGACAGUAACCAACCUGGAAGGACCACAUUCUGAAGGCAGGAGCCAGAGAUUCCUGGGCCAUUUCUAUCCACAGGGGGCCAGUCCAUCUGCUCCAGCCUUACCUCAUGGGGUCGACUGGCGUACUCUGGUCUCCUGUGCAGAUCUACACAGGGGCAACUGGCACUGGGAUGCUCCCUAUUUGAAGCCUUAGCUCUUGUCUGCUGGAACCGUUGGGAUGAAGUUCAUCCACCUCUUUUUAAUUCCAGGGGGUUGAGCUGCAAAUGCAAAUAUCCGAUUUCUUGUGGCCUCUCAAGGAAACAAAAGCCUGAUCUUUGAUUAAAAAGCUGCCAUGCUCAAUUGCUUAUUGCUUUCUUUGCAUGUCACUUGCAUGUGAGACAAGGGAUAGACCUUCCUUCAUCCAAGUCCCUCACCCAAUAUCAUUCUUCUCAUCUGCUUAACAUUUCAGCUAUCUCCCUGUGAUUGACUGGAUUUGAAGGAAAAUUACCCAAUUAUUUCCAAUGCUCUAGAGUGACAACCUAAUCCAUCCUUUCCUGCCAAGAACACUUGUCCUGGAAGCUUCCGGGAGAGGGCUGCCCUGCAUGCCUGCCUGUGCAUCUUUUUGUCUUUCUUGGCUUCUCACCAUCCAUUUGCUCAUCUUCUAACUUCCUGUCUUAGUUUUUCCUAUUUUUCUCUCCUGUGUUGGACGUUCCCUUCACUGCCCCUCCCUUCCCACAUCCUCUUUCCUCCCGUUACCCACGGCUCCCAGGGCUUCCUUUUCCCCAGGCCUCAUGCUCUCCUCACUGCAGGCAGCAAGGUUUCUCUACCCGUGUCUGAUGGUGCAUGAGAUGUGGAGGCAGAGAGGCCGAGGGAUGGGAAGAAGGGGGAGCAGGGCUCCCAGCUGGUCUACUUUUCUCAAAGGUAGCAACACUAGUUGGGGAGUCCAGGCUGCUGCUUGCAGGGGCCGAAAGUUUUCUUUCACCAGAGGUUACCCUGGUCUGCAAGAGUCUUGUGUGUGUGGUGGGGGGAGGGGGUUACUGAGGAUCAAACCCAGGGUCUCAAGCAUUCAUGCCCGCUAGGCAAGUGCUCCACCCUGAACUAUACUCCUAGCCCUGUUAGAUCCUUGGUGCCUGGUGUUUGGAGGGAGCCCCUUCAUGGAAUAGUUAGGGGUUUGUGUUAUGGUUUGGAUGUGAGGUGUGCCCUGCAAAGCUCAGGUGUGAGAAAAUGCAAGGUUUAGAGAAGAAAUGAUUGGGUUAUUAGAGCCUUAACUCAAUCAGUGACUCCAUCCUCUGAUAGGAUUAACUGAGUGGUGACUGAAGAUGGGUAGGGUGUAGCUGGAGAAGGUGGGCAUUGGGGGCGUGCCUUUGGGGUAUGUGUUUUAUAUCUGGUGGGUGGAGUCCCUCUCUGCUUCUUGAUCAUCAAGUGAGCUAGUUUCCUACCUCCCUCACUCUUCCACCAUGAGGUUCUGCCUCACUGCAGGCCCCAGGUAUGGAACCAACCUUCUAUGGACUGAGACCUCUGAAACUGAGCCCUCAGAUAAACUUUUCCUCUCCUACAAUUGUUCCUGUCAGGUCUUUUAGUCACAGCAGUGAAAAAAGCUGACUAAGACAGUUUGGCUCUGGGAGGGCUGG